GCGGGGCUGGGGGCAGCCAAGUGGCCUUUGAGGAUGGGGCCAGGCACCGCACAGGGCAGGCUGGUCAUGAGGCCCCCACGAAAGAUCCCAGCAUUGGGAGCUCAGGCUUCCCCGCCCCAUGCCAGGCAGCCCCUCCUGCUUCCCUUCCUUUGGAAGGAGCGGUGCUGGGUCUGAGCCCCAGCCCAUCUUCCUCACCGGGGCAGCAGGGCCAAGACCCACGAUCCCUAGGCUGAGCCAGCGGCACCUCAGGGGGCACGGCCCUUGCCCACAGAUGCCCAGGCCGGCCUGGUCUUCUCUGAAUACCCCUAAGCCUGACUCUUGGGUUGUGAAUGUCCGCGAGGUUGGGGGACCUGCUGGCCCUGUCCCCACACCGCUUUCAGCCUUUCAUCACCCAACCAAAGACAGAAGCUCAAACGUGGGCACCAAAGUCUAGCGGACGCACCGAACUCCAGGCUCCAAGCACAUCCACCCAUGGUGGCUUUAUUCAGUCACGUCCCCACGCCCACGGCUCCCUCCACCAGGCAGACAGAGGGGAGGCCCCGGGAAGUGGGGACGGGCCGAG
rnacentral:lncRNA from 1 species